CUCACACAUGUAGAUAGCUACAUCAGUCUCUGCAGAUGAAAACAUGACCUGAGGUGAGACUGGAAAGUCUGGAGGCAGAGAUAUAGCAUGAAGAGUGAAAGAGCAGGAUUGAGGCAGAUUGUUAGAGGAGAAAUAACAGGAGGAACCGAGCCUGCAGAGCGGAGGAGUGGAUGUGCCGGGUGAAACAUAGUGGAAGAUGAUUGACGUGAAGCGACAGGUGCCAGGAACGUCACACCUUCACCUGAAGAGGCUCGACGGAUUAGACAGACCAAGGCCAGCGCUUCAGUGACUCUGAAUUCAGGAUUAUAAUAUGGCCCGUCGAUGAACUGGACGUUUGGAUGGCUGUGCUAUUCGGCCCACGAUGAAUAGACUGUGAUUAUCUUUAAUGACGCAUGGAUUCCAUUAAAACAUUCAUAGCACACUUGGUGGCACGAGUUAUUGUAAUAACUUUGUGGCGUGAGCGAGAGAGCAAGAGACCGAGCGAAAGAGAGAGAGAGAGAGAGAGAGAGAAAACAGCAUAUCAUAGCACAUCUUUAAUAUUAAGCACUUUGCAAUGGCUUUUCCAACUCGCAUCAGAACAGUCCAAAAACACCCUUUCUACCCUAUUAUAAUCAUCUCAGGCUCUCCGUCUAAAAUGUCUGACGCUCAUUAUUAUGCACAAUUUCUGUGUAAUUGUGGCAUUCUUUUAAAUGUAGUUCAUAUCUAUCUAUCUAUCUAUCUAUCUAUCUA
ensembl:lncRNA